UGAUCCUGGACGCGGGCAAGGAGUUGAUUUAUCUGUGAGAGACAGAAACGUGACAGUUGAGUGCUAACAGGAUACAGUGAUAAUGAACACAACCUAAUUACCUCAGACCACACUCCAGCUGUUCAACGUGAACUGGAUUUUGUUAAACUGUCAAUGACUCAAAAAUUGGGUCUGGCAGAAGCUCCGUAACGUCUCAAAAGCAACUUGAAACUGCAUCAACCACUGCCAAAAUUCAUUGGCUUUAUCACUGCAAACAGAGACACAAAUGGUGUAAAUUCAGGACUAGUUUGGUGUCAUUGGUGGAAGGUGUUUCAGUAGGCAGCUGGUGU